UGCCAGGUCCGGUGCAAUUUUAGACUAUGAAUCAGGUCAGAUUUGGAAGAAAGCAGCCUUAAGUAGACCCUGAGAUGUGUCACCGUAAACCUGGUUUUU
rnacentral:SRP_RNA from 1 species